UGAGCAAUCUGCCCUUCUCAUCGGAAUAAGCGUUGGAAACGACGUCUAGUGCCGAAUACGACCUCCUUUCGCAUGAUCGGAGGUGGAAAGCUCCGGCGGAGAAGGAUGAGCUCGCGGCCUAUCAGCUAGUUGGUGUGGGUAACGGCCCACCAAGGCGACGACGGGUAGCCGGCCUGAGAGGGUGACCGGCCACACUGGGACUGAGACACGGCCAGACUCCUACGGGAGGCAGCG
rnacentral:rRNA from 1 species